rnacentral:lncRNA from 1 species
UUUAUUAAAGUUUAAAAGAUAAUAUUAUUGUAAAAAUAAGCCAAAAGGAACAAAAAUAACAGUAGAGGUGUUAAUAAUUUAACUGUAAGGAUAUUUUAAGUUAUUUUUUAAAAAUACAAGGAAAAAACCAGUACUAAACUCAUAAUAUGGGGACUAAAUGAGUUUUCGAUUUUAAGAUUGUUGAAAUUGAACUUAAGUAUGAAUUAUUAAAAAGCGGUGAUAUUUGACUUCCCAUUUCAUCUCAUCACCAUUACUUCUCAAUUAACUCCACUGAAAAUUUGGAAAUAAUAUUUAUCUCUUACUUCAGUAUUAAGGGUACCUUCAUAUAAUUUUUACAUUUUUCAUACACCCCACCAUAUAAAACUUAAAAUAUUUGUUUAGAUGGGAAAAAAAUAAUAAUAUGAUACUCUCCCUCUUUCUUUACCAAUGCAGCAUUUUUUUUUUCAAAACAAGUGUAGCUAUGGCCUAUGGGUGGUGCAAACUUUGUUAGAAAUCUCUAGUUAUUAGAAAUCUCCAUUUGUUUAGUGAAGGGCUGUGGCGAUUUUCUUGCACAUACUGGUAUUGGUGAUUCUCGACACCAACAGUUUCUGCAACCAGAUCAAUAUUUUCAGCAACCAGUUCAUCAAACACUCUUUAUCCUUAAUUUUUUCUUCCCUGCUGGCUCACCAUUCUUUCUAAUUCGACGGAGAACAAAGUCACAGGAUUCAGAGUGUAUUCAUGCAUAAUCCAGCAACCAUAGUUUGGAGAGUCAUCAUUCUCAUAUCUAAAAGCACCUUGCAGAAUAUCAUUGGAAAUCUAUUUUUUUUGGGUGUUGAAGAUAAACAUUAAGCAAAAGUGAAUGGUAAUAAAACUUUAAACUUACUGCUUCUUUAUCUUCUCUUGGGUGUUCUAAAUUAUUUUCUUUCAUAAUUAUAACAUUCAAUUAUGUGAUCUUUUAAAGAAAACAAUUUAAGA